UGAAGCACGUACGCCAGUAUGUGUGGAGCCGUCCUUGAAAUACCACCCUUGUAGUGUUGAUGUUCUAACGUCGACCCCUAAUCGGGGUUGCGGACAGUGCCUGGUGGGUAGUUUGACUGGGGCGGUCUCCUCCCAAAGAGUAACGGAGGAGCACGAAGGUGGGCUAAUCACGGUUGGACAUCGUGAGGUUAGUGCAAUGGCAUAAGCCCGCUUGACUGCGAGAAUGACAAUUCGAGCAGGUGCGAAAGCAGGUCAUAGUGAUCCGGUGGUUCUGAAUGGAAGGGCCAUCGCUCAACGGAUAAAAGGUACUCCGGGGAUAACAGGCUGAUACCGCCCAAGAGUUCAUAUCGACGGCGGUGUUUGGCACCUCGAUGUCGGCUCAUCACAUCCUGGGGCUGAAGUCGGUCCCAAGGGUAUGGCUGUUCGCCAUUUAAAGUGGUACGCGAGCUGGGUUUAGAACGUCGUGAGACAGUUCGGUCCCUAUCUGCCGUGGGCGUUGGAAGAUUGAAGGGG
rnacentral:rRNA from 1 species